GAACUGAAGAGUUUGAUCAUGGCUCAGAUUGAACGCUGGCGGCAGGCCUAACACAUGCAAGUCGAGCGGAUGAAGGGAGCUUGCUCCUGGAUUCAGCGGCGGACGGGUGAGUAAUGCCUAGGAAUCUGCCUGGUAGUGGGGGAUAACGUCCGGAAACGGGCGCUAAUACCGCAUACGUCCUGAGGGAGAAAGUGGGGGAUCUUCGGACCUCACGCUAUCAGAUGAGCCUAGGUCGGAUUAGCUAGUUGGUGGGGUAAAGGCCU
rnacentral:rRNA from 1 species